rnacentral:rRNA from 1 species
GUCUACGGCCUUGCUACCCUGAACGUGCCUGGUUCCAUCUGAUCUCGGAAGCUAAGCAAGGUCAGGCCUGGUUAGUACUUAAAUGGAAGGCCACCUAGGAAGACCAGGUGCUGUAGCUG